rnacentral:rRNA from 1 species
GACGAACGCUGGCGGCGUGCCUAAUACAUGCAAGUCGAACGAGAGCGACCGGUGCUUGCACUGGUCAAUCUAGUGGCGAACGGGUGAGUAACACGUGGGUAACCUGCCCAUCAGAGGGGGAUAACAUCCGGAAACGGAUGCUAAAACCGCAUAGGUCUUCGAACCGCAUGGUUUGAAGAGGAAAAGAGGCGCAAGCUUCUGCUGAUGGAUGGACCCGCGGUGCAUUAGCUAGUUGGUGAGGUAACGGCUCACCAAGGCCGUGAUGCAUAGCCGACCUGAGAGGGUGAUCGGCCACAUUGGGACUGAGACACGGCCAAAACUCCUACGGGAGGCAGCAGUAGGGAAUCUUCCGCAAUGGACGCAAGUCUGACGGAGCAACGCCGCGUGAGUGAAGAAGGUUUUCGGAUCGUAAAACUCUGUUGUUAGAGAAGAACAAGUGCUAGAGUAACUGUUAGCGCCUUGACGGUAUCUAACCAGAAAGCCACGGCUAACUACGUG